UACGUAGGGUGCAAGCGUUGUCCGGAAUUAUUGGGCGUAAAGAGCGUGUAGGCGGCCCGAUUAGUCCGCUGUGAAAGUCCAGGGCUCAACCCUGGAAUGCCGGUGGAUACUGUCGGGCUAGAGUCCGGAAGGGGCGAGUGGAAUUCCUGGUGUAGCGGUGAAAUGCGCAGAUAUCAGGAGGAACACCGAUGGCGAAGGCAGCUCGCUGGGACGUUACUGACGCUGAGACGCGAAAGCGUGGGGAGCAAACAGG
rnacentral:rRNA from 1 species